rnacentral:rRNA from 1 species
GAUGAACGCUGGCGGCGUGCCUAAUACAUGCAAGUCGAGCGAACAGACGAGGAGCUUGCUCCUCUGACGUUAGCGGCGGACGGGUGAGUAACACGUGGAUAACCUUCCUAUAAGACUGGGAUAACUUCGGGAAACCGGAGCUAAUACCGGAUAAUAUAUUGAACCGCAUGGUUCAAUAGUGAAAGGCGGUUUUGCUGUCACUUAUAGAUGGAUCCGCGCCGCAUUAGCUAGUUGGUAAGGUAACGGCUUACCAAGGCAACGAUGCGUAGCCGACCUGAGAGGGUGAUCGGCCACACUGGAACUGAGACACGGUCCAGACUCCUACGGGAGGCAGCAGUAGGGAAUCUUCCGCAAUGGGCGAAAGCCUGACGGAGCAACGCCGCGUGAGUGAUGAAGGUCUUCGGAUCGUAAAACUCUGUUAUUAGGGAAGAACAAAUGUGUAAGUAACUAUGCACGUCUUGACGGUACCUAAUCAGAAAGCCACGGCUAACUACGUG